AACGAACGCUGGCGGCAUGCCUAACACAUGCAAGUCGAACGAGACCUUCGGGUCUAGUGGCGCACGGGUGCGUAACGCGUGGGAACCUGCCCUUAGGUUCGGAAUAACUCCCCGAAAGGGGUGCUAAUACCGGAUAAUGUCUUCGGACCAAAGAUUUAUCGCCUUUGGAUGGGCCCGCGUUGGAUUAGCUAGUUGGUAGGGUAAAAGCCUACCAAGGCGACGAUCCAUAGCUGGUCUGAGAGGAUGAUCAGCCACACUGGGACUGAGACACGGCCCAGACUCCUACGGGAGGCAGCAGUGGGGAAUAGUGGACAAUGGGCGAAAGCCUGAUCCAGCAAUGCCGCGGGAGUGAUGAAGGCCUUAGGGUUGUAAAGCUCUUUUACCCGGGAUGAUAAUGACAGUACCGGGAGAAUAAGCUCCGGCUAACUCCGU
rnacentral:rRNA from 1 species